GAUGAACGCUGGCGGCGUGCUUAACACAUGCAAGUCGAACGGAGUUUAUACGGAAAGUGUCUUCGGACACCGGAAGUAUAAACUUAGUGGCGGACGGGUGAGUAACGCGUGGGUAACCUGCCUUAUACAAGGGGAUAACAGAGGGAAACUUCUGCUAAUACCGUAUAAAAAUAUUUCACGCAUGUGAGAUAUUUGAAAGAUUUAUCAGUAUAAGAUGGACCCGCGUCUGAUUAGGUAGUUGGUGAGGUAGAGGCUCACCAAGCCGACGAUCGGUAGCCGAUCUGAGAGGAUGACCGGCCACAUUGGGACUGAGACACGGCCCAAACUCCUACGGGAGGCAGCAGUGGGGAAUAUUGGACAAUGGGGGCAACCCUGAUCCAGCGACGCCGCGUGAGUGAAGAAGUAUUUCGGUAUGUAAAGCUCUAUCGAUAACGGAAGAAGAUGACAAGCCGUUAAGGAAGAAGCCCCGGCUAACUACGUGCCAGCAGCCGCCGUAACAC
rnacentral:rRNA from 1 species